rnacentral:rRNA from 1 species
UACGAAGGGGGCUAGCGUUGUUCGGAAUUACUGGGCGUAAAGGGCUCGUAGGCGGCCGGCUAAGUCCGACGUGAAAUCCCCAGGCUUAACCUGGGAACUGCGUCGGAUACUGGCGGGCUUGAAUCCGGGAGAGGGAUGCGGAAUUCCGAGGUGUAGCGGUGAAAUGCGCAGAUAUCAGGAGGAACACCGGUGGCGAAGGCGGGUCUCUGGGCCGGUACCGACGCUGAGGAGCGAAAGCGUGGGGAGCGAACAGG